UCUCUCUCUCUCUCUCUCUCUCUCAUUCUCUAUCUUCUUCUUCCUCUUCAUACCAAAGGAAAUCAAGUUGGGUAUUAAUCAUAUAAAUACCGCCUACAAUUGUUCAAAGCUAUAGGUCAAUGAACCCAAAAACAUGAAGAGGCAGAGAGUCAGCGGUCUUUGAUCGUCACCAUUGUCGUUUACCCAUGGCUGGGAUUUUUCUUUUGGAAAUUGAAUCAGGAAGAGGGGAAACAAAAAUGGUUGGUUUUGUUUUAGCUUCUUUUAGUAAAGCUUGGAACUUUCUUGGUGGGUUUUGGUGUUUGAUUCUGUACUGAUCUCCAAAUCGAAGAACAAGUCUUCUUCUUCCUCCUCUUCCACCUCAAAUUCAUUGUUUAUUUCAAGUAAAGGACUAGGGAAUUGCAAUGGGAGAAGGAUUGGAUUUCCAGAACUUAAGAAAGUGUACAGAGUCUCCAUGGUUACAAAAAGAAACAGAAAGACUGAUUGGAAGAGAGAGAGAGAGAGAAGAGAAGGAAAGAGGAAGAAACAAUAAAAAAUAAAAAAUAAAAAAUAAAAAAUAAAAAGCAUGAAAUUGAAGCAGUUUUGCAGUUCAGUGUUUAAAUUUGAAACUUCCAAAUCUACAGCAGCAGCAAACUAGAAAAUAAGGUAAGUCACAGACCUAACACAGUGAACACACAAAGUCACAAAUUGAACUAAUGCCCACAUAUCCUAGCCCCAAGUCCCCAAGUACAAGCAAAUGAACUAAUGUUCAAAUAUUUAGCAAAGUAGAAAGCCAGAACUUUGAAGUAGCAACACAAUCAAACAAUUAACGAUAUGAGAAACGUAAAUCUGCAAUUCUGCAAAUGUGUAGCAAGCUAGUAAGGCAUUCAAUUUCUAAAGUAAAUUGAUGUUGUUUAGUGUCUCACUCAUUGAAAAACAAAGUAAUUCCAUAAUUUUGAGUAUUAGUUGCUCGAGGUGAACCAAUAAUUAUUUACUGCAUGUCAAUAAUUAACUACAGAGUUAUUGACAUGCAGUAAAUAAUUAGUAACAGAGAGUUAGUUAGAUUGCUAGUCUGAAACCAAUAAUACUAUGAAUGGGAUCUCCGAGUCACAAAUAGGAGAUCCCAUUCAUAGUAAACUAUGUAUUGGGCGACCACGCAGAAUGGAUCUCCGAGUCACAAAUAGGAGAGAGUGAAAGAACCCACCAAUAAGGUACAGACGGUAAAAUGGGGGAGACGACGUCGUUCAUGAGAAACAAAUACUGGGUAUUGAGGCACGGCAGGAGCAUUCACUACUACAAAAACAAGCAUAGGACGCCAUCGAUUAAGGGUGUCAAAUACUCACGUUAGCCACCAAAACCAUGAAUAGCCACUGUGCAGCCACCGAACUGAUGUCAGUGCCCUUAAUUGGGGUUUCCUAUAGAGCAUACAGCACCAUUCUAGCAUCGGUGCUGUGUUUUCCAAUGAGAACGCGAUGGCCCAUUUAAAGGAUGUUACUGACACAUCUGAUAUCAACUCAUUGAUUUUAUUAAUUUUCUACACUAUUAUAAACUGAUGUAUCGGUGUGAAAACCAAACAGCAUUUUAAAAAAAAAAUGUUGCGCCAGUUUAAUUGGCGCCAAAAUCAAGCAUUUAUUUUAUAAUUUUUCAUUUUUCCCCUGGCCUGCCCCAUGUUUUGGAUUGUAUAAUCAUAUUACAGCAAUUACACAGCAAAUGAAAAACCUCUAAAAACACUUAUGAGAGACUUGUAUUCCAUAGUUGUCAUAACUGCACAAUGGACAAUGACUUGUUUAACAUGUCGAACGACGUCUUCUCGUCAAGAUGCCUCUUCAUACUUGAAACUGUAGAGGAAUAGAAAGCAAAGCUACCUAAUUUAGUUCUCAGGGAACAUGUGUGUUCUGAAGGAAUCAAAACAGAAAGAAGAACAAUAAUACUUAGCUUAGCUCUCAUGUAGCUUCUGAUGUUAACCCUAACAUUCAGUAUUUCCUUCUCCAAUUCGUCUUAUCACUUCAACUUCCGCCCAGCUAGGAGCUUUCCUAACCUUGCAGCUACUUGUUUAGAAAUUCAUAAAACACCUGUACAAUAAGUUAAACUCACAAAUAUACACACUACAGUCUGAAAACAUAAAAUAGCAAACUGAUCGGGUUUCACAUAUGAAGGUUCCAGAAAUAGUGAUAAAUAAAGUAACCUCAUUGUCACACUAUCAGUUGAUUCAAAAGCAGAAGCAAAAUGCCAACAAUGUUCACUUAUUUCGUACACCAUAAUUUGGUUUUACCUUGACCCCAUCCGCAAAUGUCAAUGGCAUUGGAAACAAAAUUUCCUUCUCGAUGAUAUGAGCAACAAAAUUAAUUACAUGGAGUGAAUUAAUUAAUGAGGCUGAGACAUAUCUGAAUACCAAAGAAAAGAUAGAUAUUACAAACUUCAACAACAAACUGCCAAAUACAAUAUAUAUUCAAUAGAAACCUAAAUACCUUCAAUGGAAAACAAUGAGCUGAUAGAACCAAAACCAGUAUGGUGAAGAGCCUUGUUGAACAGAUCAGGCAAAAGUAACCGGAUAAGAAAAAGACAAUAGUUACCACAAGGCCUGUCAUUGAAGUCGCAAAUGUAAAUAGGUUACGACAUACCACUUUAUCAUAUAUAAACUAAAAAGAACCAUCAACAAGCAUUUAGAUUCUAUAUAAAGAAUAUAACAAGUUAUGCUAUUUCACUGCAAAAGUCUAAAGUAUAUAUUCAUAAGAAAGCAAUUUACUUUAAAUUUUGCUUCAAUAAUUGAAAAGAAAAUAUUCAGGUUAUGAGAACCGGCAAUCAUCCUGCCAACCCAAAUGAAAUGUAACAAUCCUGAGAUACACCACUGUCAAUAACAAAGAAACAAAGUUAACAGGAGUAUGCAUGGUGCAUGCUUCCCAUGACAGCCCAAUGAACACAAUUUCACAUUCUCACAGCUUCAGUAGUUUCCAUCACAGAACCAAUUUUAGACAAACGUGAUAUAUGGAUAUAAGUGUCAUGACUAGUAAUCCCAAAAGUAAAAUGCCAGACAUUACAUGCAAGCUCUGAAACUUAAAAUCCCUUGGAUCCUCUACUAAUGUGAAAAAAGAAAAGAAAAGGGAGGAGUAUUACCUUCAAAAAUAAAGUAAUAGCAUGUCUUCUCCUUGAUUGGUUUCUCACUCGCUGCAGGAAGUACAAUAAACAAAGAGCUAUGAAGACUGCUUUUUGUAUGGAUUCUCACACUAACGGAAUAUAAUACAAGUAGUAUUAAUUUGAAUAUAAAAUGUAUUGCAUUUGGGUUUUUAACAAAGAGAAAUCACUCAUAAUUUACGGAUGCUCACUAGUCAAGACUUCAAGUCGGAAGAACUUUGAAACCUUCCCACUGAAACAUACCUAGCCAUCCAAAUAAACUAAGGAUGAAAAACUGGAAGCACAAAAACAUGUAAGAAAAGAUACGAUAGGAUACAGAACGUACUAACCAACAUGCCAGCGAUAAAGGAGAGAAGAACAAUAAUAUAAGCAGACAAAAAGAAAGUCCUAGAAUCCAAGAGUGAAAUAUUGAAACAGAGAACAUGACUACCAAAUCAGAACUACCAUUGUUGCAUAACUUACAAUGCAGCAGAAACCUAAAGGAACCAUGUUAAAGGCAAAAAGCAUUAAGUUUAUGCCUGACACUGACUAUCAGACCUUAAUUGUUCCUACAAAACCAAAUUUUUGAUAAGAAAAAUCAAAUAGUAAGUACAUAUAUGAUGCUUUACAAAAUUGAAAGCAACCAAGUCUUGAAGCACCGUA